ensembl:lncRNA novel transcript
CUCCUGUGAGACUGUGAAUUCUUCAAAAGCAGAUUCCACAAAUAUGUCAGCGCUGGAAAUGAUCCUUUGGCUUUGAACUAUGUGAAGACUGCAGAAGGACUGGUUGACAACUACAAUACAGAUGAGCAGCCCACCCAAGAUUCCUUCUCUAAGAAUUUAGAACUGGGAAUGGAGGAGAGAAAGAGAGAGAUACUGAUUCUACCAGAGACAAUGGGAUGAGAUAGCAUGGUUGUUGGAACCAUGGCUGGAACUGUAAAGCACAAAUUGGACAGCAGAUAAAGUCAGGCUGCAUUUGUAUCCUGGGUCCACAAGACAUCGUUUCCUUAAAACCAAUCCCCCUGAUUUUGCUAAGUGUCUGCAAGCCUAAUAUUUCAUGGAUGUUUGACAAGGACCCCGUCUUUAGCUGAACUAAGGAGAAAGUCCUGCAACACACACAUGGAGCUCAGCAAACGGAGGAUGUACCUUGAAGAGGCAAGAUGCUUCAGUUCUACAGCUGCAAGGAAAUCAAUUCUGACAACAACCACGUGUGCUUGGAAGACCACCACCACCAUCACCACCACCACCACCCCCCGCCCCGCCCCUGCCCCUCUGAGCCUCAGAUGGGACGCUAGACCCUCCCUGAUUAUAGUCUGCGAGACACUGAACCUGGACUCCUGGUCUAUGGGAGCUGUUUUAAGUUUUAAGCUGUUAAUUUUUGGUAAUUAGUUAUGCA